CAGCCGCCGCGGUAAUACGUAGGUCCCGAGCGUUGUCCGGAUUUAUUGGGCGUAAAGCGAGCGCAGGCGGUUAGAUAAGUCUGAAGUUAAAGGCUGUGGCUUAACCAUAGUACGCUUUGGAAACUGUUUAACUUGAGUGCAGAAGGGGAGAGAGGAAUUCCAUGUGUAGCGGUGAAAUGCGUAGAUAUAUGGAGGAACACCGGUGGCGAAAGCGGCUCUCUGGUCUGUCACUGACGCUGAGGCUCGAAAGCGUGGGUAGCGAACAGGAUUAGAUACCCCGGUAGUCCCUGUCUCUUAUACA
rnacentral:rRNA from 1 species